rnacentral:tRNA from 1 species
UCGCGGCGCUGGGCGGCGCGUUCUUCGUCGCUUCCGACGCGACGCUUGCGAUCGACCGCUUCGCCGCGCCGUUCGGCGCGGCGUCGGCGGU